ACCUGUGUGGAAGAUGCGAAUACGCUUACAAGAAGGCUAUUGAAGAUAACACUUUCGAGAUUAGGGAAGUUGGACCGUCUGUAGGAAACUGCACCAGUGAUUCUGCUCUCUUGGUUCCAGAACCUCACUGCUGUGACGACUCCAGACUGUGCAAGAGCCACGGGAGUAAUUGCCGUCACAGUUUUCUCUACGAAAACGGCCAUAUUCGCUGCGACUAUUUCCUCCCUAGUUACUGCCCCGACCAGCGCUGCUGCGGCUGCUGCCUGAACUGUAACGUCAAAGUAUGUUCACCCUGUUUUCACGAGAUAGGUGCUACGUGCAGGAAGCAAUGCCAGUGGGACGAGUACCCGGUCUCAGUCAAGUGUCACAGUCCUUAUUGUCAGUGUUGCAGAAAGUGCGAAAUAGAAUGGUCUUGCAAAGCAGCCGGGGGAUACUGCGUGGGACAUCCUUAUUUCUGUCAAAGAAGAGGUUUUUAUGCAACGAAAGGUGGCUGCACUGGGGAUUGCUGCUACUGUUGCCGUCCGAUUCCAGAAUAAGGAGGCAUAGGCAAGACACCGUAAAUGGAUCACCGGAUUGAAUGAAUAGUUAUUUGCAUUAACACUCACAGACACAGACACACACAGGCACCCAAACAUACACACACAUACUCACACACACACACA